rnacentral:rRNA from 1 species
UACGGAGGAUGCAAGCGUUAUCCGGAAUUAUUGGGCGUAAAGCGUCCGUAGGUGGUUAAUCAAGUCUAUUGUCAAAGCCUGGGGCUUAACCCUGGAGAGGCGGUAGAAACUGGUUGACUAGAGUGCGGUAGGGGCAGAGGGAAUUCCCAGUGUAGCGGUGAAAUGCGUAGAUAUUGGGAAGAACACCGGUGGCGAAAGCGCUCUGCUGGGCCUGCACUGACACUGAGGGACGAAAGCUAGGGGAGCGAAAGGG